UACGGAGGGUGCAAGCGUUAAUCGGAAUUACUGGGCGUAAAGGGUGCGCAGGUGGUUUAUUAAGUUAUCUGUAAAAUCCCUGGGCUUAACCUGGGCAGGUCAGAUAAGACUGGUAGACUCGAGUACGGGAGAGGGUAGUGGAAUUUCCGGUGUAGCGGUGAAAUGCGUAGAGAUCGGAAGGAACACCGGUGGCGAAGGCGGCUACCUGGCCUGAUACUGACACUGAGGCACGAAAGCGUGGGGAGCAAACAGG
rnacentral:rRNA from 1 species